UACGUAGGGGGCAAGCGUUGUCCGGAAUCAUUGGGCGUAAAGCGCGUGUAGGCGGCCCGGUAAGUCCGCUGUGAAAGUCGGGGGCUCAACCCUCGAAUGCCGGUGGAUACUGUCGGGCUAGAGUGCGGGAGAGGCGAGUGGAAUUCCUGGUGUAGCGGUGAAAUGCGCAGACAUCAGGAGGAACACCAAUUGCGAAGGCAGCUCGCUGGAACGUAACUGACGCUGAGACGCGAAAGCGUGGGGAGCAAACAGG
rnacentral:rRNA from 1 species